UUCAAAAUACAGGAGCUCUGUUGCUCAAAAUCCUGUUCAAGAAUAAUCACCCUGAUGGCAAACCUCUGGUCAACAGAUCUUCUUUACUUGAGAUCCUUACAAAUUUCCUAAGGAGGCCUGUCACAGCUAAACAGCUGAAAAACCUUCUAUUUCGUCUGCACCUCUCUGACCGAGUGCUUAUCAGUUUUGAGGAGUUUUAUGGUGCCCUGAAAGACCCAGACUCCAAUAAAAG